CCUACGGGGGGCAGCAGUGGGGGAUAUUGCACAAUGGGCGCAAGCCUGAUGCAGCGAAGUCGCGUGAGCGAAGAAGUACCUCGGUAUGUAAAGCUUCAUCAGCCGGGAAGAAAAUGACGGUACCUGACUACGAAGCUCCGGUUAAAUACGUGCCAGCAGCCGCGGUAAUACGUAGGGAGCCAGCGUUAUCCGGAUUUACUGGGUGUAAAGGGGGCGUAGGCGGGUCUGUAAGUCUGAUGUGAAAAUUUGGGGCUCAACCCCAAACGUGCAGUUGAAACUGCAGGGCUUGAGUGCCGGAGAGGCAGGCGGAAUGCCUGGUGUAGCGGUGAAAUGCGUAGAUAUUAGGAGGAACACCAGUGGCGAAGGCAGCCUGCUGGACGGUAACUGACGCUGAGGCUCGAAAGCGUGGGGAGCGAACAGGAUUAGAUACCCUUGUAGUC
rnacentral:rRNA from 1 species